CUGGUUAAAUGAUCCCGCAUCCUACAUAUAUUGCCAGACUCAUUUUGCUGAUCCAAACGUUUAUGUAUGAACUCUCGUAAGCAGUGCACAUGCAAAGAUUACCGCUUCAUAAUGUAUUUAUUAAUUACUCUAGAAAAACACUUAGAUCCACAAACAGCCGGCACUGGAAUUUCAGGCGAUUUGGAAGAAGGGAAGGAAGAGUCAGUACGACUUUUAGCGGACAUUACCUAAGUUUCUUGUCCAGAUGACCAAUUUUACGCUGUUCGAUGGUAACGGGAAUCCUAUGUUAAUGAUGAUCUCCGGGGGCGGAUACACGGGCUGUUGUUGGUGGCAGUGGAUAGACGCUAGGUGUCAGCAUGCCGUGCCCGUUAGAAAAUCCGUACCCAUGCGCGGUGUCAAUUGCGCCAAAGGUGGAUUAUGAAAGGUGCAGGAAUUUGGUGGCUUUGUCUAGAGUUAGUGCUUUCGGAUAUGAAAAUAAUAAAACCAGGAUGUAAAACAAAAAUUAUCUACCUUUUCAUCCAUCUAUAAAAAAUAUUUUUAUAUUUGCACUAUGGAGAAACUAACAAAUUACACGCCUCGUAUGCUAAGAAUAUCAUCGAUUCGAUUAAAAUUAUUACACUAACAGCACAGUGAAUGAGGAGGUGCCGCUGAAGUGAGUUCACAUCCGAGGAGAUCUGCUUGAUCGUUUUCCAACCGAAUUCGAACGCCGACGCAACUACUGGAAAACUGCCUACUUUAUCUUUUUGAGUCGACCGGAUUCUUAGGCCGGUUCCUUGGCCAGACGCUUUACUUCGUUUUGCCAAAAUUCUCAAUCGUACCGACCAUGACCAAAAGGCAAUCUCCGUCAGUCGGUCGAGUUUGCCGUUCAUGAACAUGGUGUAAACCUUGAUAAUGUUCUCUUUGUUCACCAGCUUGCCGGCAUAGCCCGUGAACACUUCUGUGACCUGAAACGCCUGUAAUUCGAAACGCUAGAAACGGCACAUCAUGCGCACAGCACAUCAUAUUAUGAGCGCAUUACAACACAGCGCUUGAAGUACGCGACUGUGCGGAAAGUUUUACGUGGACGUGGAAAAAAUGGAGACCAAACCUCAAGUGCUCAAAGAGCGGACAGGGCUCAAAAACUCAAAGCGCAUAGCACGUUAAGAGCACAAAAAGCGCACCGUUCUCGUAGACCAAACUGUGCGAAAAGUGCUAGCACAAUGCACUAUGUGCAACACUACGAACAGCUCAUUCAUUGUCAGGAUGGGAAUUAUUUCUUGGAGCGUCCUGUAGUUCUACAGGAUCUGCUGCACGCCACGGUAAAUGUUAUAAUGCCCAGCGUCGGUGAUGUAUUGGGUUCAUUAUACGCGAUAUCGAAUCCAGUGGAUUCACAGCCAAGUAGAUGCUUAUCUCGGCGAUGGCAUGCAACAGCAUGGUGACAUCAAAGCGAGCAAAUGUGGUAGUCAAAACUAGAUCGGUCAGAGAAUCAGCCGGCACAUCAAAUGGCCUGCACCGUCGUAAUCGUGGCAAUGCACUCCUGUAUACAUCCAGCGUUGGUUAGUAACCGACAGCGAGCGGGUAUCCUUUGAAACCGGCAAAACUCGGAGAAACAGCUACAUCACACGGUAGAAGCUGUUGAAACGCAAUCUAACUAAGCUGGAAAAACUUCACGCGAGCUUAUUACAUUAUAAACCGUUCCUAAAAAUAGCAAAUAAUAAUGUUUAUCAAUCAAUCGAGUGAAAGAAAGAAGCAAAACUUACCAUGAAUUAAGUAUGAGUGCUAAGUAUGACACCAGCAUCCAACGUUGGUGCAUGGUUCCAAAAUAUGAAGCCGUUACUUCGAUCCCAUUCUACGUGUGCUUCGACUUGCUGAUAUGUUAAAUGGUAUGAAACACGAACCGUUUGCAAUUUUAUCUCCUAGCUUCGAAUAACAAACCAAACCGUUUUCCGCUUGCUAUGCCUCUUGAAAUGUAAAUAUUAAACACACAUCAACAACAAUCGUUCUCCAAGCCCAAGGUGUAUGGAGACCAGGCUGCUCAUAGCCUGUUUUUUAAUUUCCAAAUUUGUACGACACAUCUUAAUAUUAGUGACUUAAUAGAAUGGCAUAUUAUGAUUGAAACCCGUAACCGUUUAAAUAGACUUAAAGCGACAACGUUUUUUGCGACAAUUUCGCUCACGUUUUUGGUGAAUUGCAUUGAUAAAUUUGACACCGAGUAGAUCAAAGUAGCUCAGUUUACCCAAUCAACCUGCUUGUUUUUUGUUAAAAAAAAACAUAAAAAACAUGUCGAAUUGUGCUCAAUUUUAUUUUUCUUUUAGUAUGGCAUUAAUCUGGCUAGAACAAACUGGAUAAUUUGAUUCUAUUUGGUGCAGCAAAAUUAUUGCGCUAGGCAAGUAGCUCUGUUUGCAAAAUUGGGCUACUUUCUGUCACACUGCUUCUAGACGACCCACAAAAUCUUCCGCGACAAUUUUUGCGAGCUCUUUGUUCUAAAACAACUUCUCAGUUUUAGAACUAAAUCAGAGGCAACCGUGAUUGUCGCGGGUUUGUGAAUUUUUCACAGAAAGGCAACGCUCGCGGCAUCCUUGCAUGUGCACUGCUUACGAGAGUUCAUACAUAAACGUUUGGAUCAGCAAAAUGAGUCUGGCAAUAUGUGUAGGAUGCGGGAUCAUUUAACCAGCUAGCAGAACCGAUUACUGCUUGUAAUCAUAUGCACAUGGUUAAUAAAACACCACUCGCCCGCGCCACGUAUAUUCUAAGUCUAUCACGAUAAUAAAAUACCAAAAAAUCACGACAAACUGAUUGACCAGGAGUUGGUUACCAAAAUAUCACCAAUCAGAUCAGACGUCACAACGACCAUGUGCGUCUUACCCCUGAUCAUCGCACAUGUGUACGUGAACCGAAAUGCAUUUCAGUUCAAUCACGAGUGCUCGUGAUAGAACCAGUGACAUUUCGAAAUUGAUCACAUACAAACAAAGUCACGUCAAAAUGACCGACCAAGAGGUGGUUGCUGCAAUGUCACCAAUCUGGUCACACGUCACAACGACUAUGUUCAUCUUGCGUCUGAUCAUCGCACUUGUGUACGUGAGCUGAUUUGAGGUUUGUUUCAGUCAUGAGCGUUGGUGACUGAAACAGUGAUAUUUUACAGUGGUGCUCCUGGUUCAGAAAAUUUCAUAAGAAAGUGAUUGACUAAAAGUUUAUUCCCAAAUUGUCACCAAUCAUAUCACUCGUUACAACCACUUGAGAAUUUCACCUGUGAUAAUCGCAAUUGAGUACGUGACGCUGACAAUGUUUUUGAUUCACUCAGUUUUUUUGUGAUAUUGAUGGUGACAUUUUGCAGCACUGGUGCGGAGCACACAAUAACUGUGCGGAGCACACAAACUGUGCGGAGCACAGAAACUGCGGAGCACACAAUAACUGUGCGGAGCACACAAACUGUGCAAACUGUGUGGUAGCUGUGCGGAGCACAAAAAGUGUGCAAAGCACACUAACUGUGCGAUAACACAGUAUGCAACUGUGCAAAAUCUGUGCGGGAACACAGCUACUGUGCGACCACACAUUAAGUGUGGUACCACGCACACACAGCACAGUAGACUGUGCGUGGUGCCACAGCACCACACAGUGAAAAGUGGUACUUGACUCAUCACUAGCAAUAGUGCAAGUAUGGAAAAUGCAGUGGAGUGCGAUCGAUGCGAAGGAAUGUUUCAUAUCGCGUGCGUGAACGAAGAUGAAACCGUGUACAGCAGGGAUUGGACAUGCCAUCUGUGCACUCCUGAAACACCGCCCUCGCUUCAUCUAACCUUCAUCGUGCGACGCCCGCGUUAGCGACCCAAACAGCCCAGGUAGCAGUGGAUACGAACAUAGUGAAUCUGAAACCAUCCACCAGAGCAAGAUCGACGGAAGUGAUCUCGCCUAUAUCGAACCCUCCAAAUGAUCCAUCGAAAGCAAUACCCAUUCAAACUGCUAAUUUUCAAUUGGACAAUCUUAGCAGAACCUUCCAAAGUUUCUUGGAAGAAGCACGCGAGCCACGUAGGCAAGAGCCUGACGUGAUACAACGGCUCGAAUCCGUGCUCAACACCUUUGUUCAACGGAUGAAUCAAGAACAAAAUCCGCAAGGAUCACGCUGGGACAAUCUCGGAUCUACGGCGUCAUGUUCGAGUGAUACAACCUUGAACGUUCGCCGGUAACCCAGAGGAGUGGUCCGUGUUCGAAAACGCGUUUUAUGAGACGACGGAACUAUGUGGUUUCUCAGACGGUGAAAAUAUUAUAAGGCUGCAACAAGCAUUAAAAGGAGAAACAUUUAAAACAGUCCAAGUGAGACUCAGGAAAACAGCCACCCUCUUGGCAGAAAUCGCCUCUACACUCUGUCUCUCGCUACCCCCGCUCUACACUUGCGAGCAAUCAUGCGACACUCUCGCACACUUCCACACGUCUCCACCCCUAAACGCUCCCUUCGUUGAGGUGUUAAGCAAAAAUUCGCUCUGACAGUAUCAAUAAACGAUGCGCAAUCUCAGAUUGCGCAUAUAUUUAUCUGUCAAACGCAUUGGUUUGAUGUAUUUAUCUGUCAAAAAAUAUUUACAUAUCUCGGACAUAUAAUAUUGAAAAUAUAUGCGCAAUCUUGGCGCAAUCUCAAAUUGAAUGGAAAUGACGUUUAUAGCUCAGGGUUGGCUUCGCCAUAUGAUAUAUUUUUUUACAAAACGAAUAUAUGCGCAAUCUGAGAUUGCGCAUCGUGUUUUAAUACGGUGAGAUUGAGAGACACAUACGCACUCCACCAACCCCCCAAUGACCGAUUGCUCCCUUCAUUGAGAUGAUGUUACAUCUGUGUGUGAGAUCCUCGCUCUCAUUCCGCCAUGCCUUACCAACCUACUUCAUGCAGCAAUGCUUCCACAUUUGCGGUGUUGGUAAAAUUUUCAAUCUGAUGAGAGAGCGAAAGAAACUAUGGGCGGAUCAUAGUUCUAAUUGGCAAAACAGAAAUAAAACUGAUAAGCAUAAUCUAAUGAAAUUUACUACAACACACAAUAAUUUACAAUUAUUUUAAGAGGUAUGAUGAUUCAAUAAAUUUUUGUUGUGUUUUAAAUCUUUUUUUUUUCCUGGCAAUUUAAAGUUGUACACAAAACUAUUCUAAAUAUUUGAAGCUAAAAUUGAAGCAGUCCCAUAGUGAUAAAAGUUGUUUUCUUCAUCUGCGGUUCGCCUCCCUCGUUUGACAAAUAUCAGUGUUGACAAAAAUUGGCUUGGUUUGGUUCGGUGAAAUUCUUGAGUGAUUUAUGUGUUAAACUAAUAUUAUUUCAAUAAAGUAUAGUUUAAUUUGCUUGUGCAUACCGCGUAUAUAAGUGCGGUUAUCAAUAUUUAACUUUAUUGACUUAUAGCGUCAGUGUGUGCGCAAGCGUAAAGUUGUUAAAUUGGGUUAAAUUAGCAGGAUCCAAAAAUGGCCUCGAAAAAAUGCGUCGAUAUGGCACUUUCUCGAAAAGAAGAAGGAAAAUUAUGGAUGAAUUGGACCGCGAAGCUGAAGAGGAGUGACGGCAAGCUCAAAUUGCUGGUCCAAGUGGAAUAUCUGCUAUGCUGAAUCUAAUCGUUGAAGGAAAGUUACUUUAUACAUAAAUUUGUGAUAAGUUCCCCAAAUCGUACCGAGGACUGCGAAGCGCUUCCGAACGUUUCCAUUCCGGUCCUGAUUCCCGCUGUAUCAAACUGAAAGUUCCGGUCUGAGCCGGCUGAAGCCGCUAGUGGGCAGCUAAGCCGGUAGACCGUAGCCGGCGCCGUUAGAACCGUGGGAGCCGUCUGAAGCCGUUUGGAGCCAUUUGGAACCGUUCAGAGCCGUUUGUCGGCUGUUGCGGCCGGUUCUGAACAACUACGACGGCUCAUAAUAACUCAUCCGGUUGUUCUUGAAUUUACCUGUCACUAAUAUUAAACUGUUUAGAAAACAAAAUAUGAAAUUAAUAAUAUUUCACAGACGAACCAUUAAGCAAGAGCCCAGCUCAAAUAGAUUCUAACAGCUUUGCCGAAACAGAUCAUCAAUCUCAAGAUACAUUCCGUGGUGGUGAAGAUGUUGGCCAUAGUGAUACAGUAUUGGAUGCAAAUGCUGAGAAUUUUUUGCUGGAUGAUAACGUCGAAAUCGCGGAUCACGACGUGGAAGAUGUGUAUGUAGAGAGAGACAGCACAUACAGUUUUUUCGACAAUAUCACCCUCAAGGAAGGUCUGCGUUAUAUUGCUAUAACGAAAAAUCUACCACGGUCCACAAUAAACAUGCUGUUGGCACUGCUUUGCAGGAAGCUUAAGCUUAGACUUCCAGCAGAUGCGCGGACUUUAUUGAAAACGCCAACCCAAGUAGGCUUAGAAAUUCAACCUGUCUUGGGCGGGCAUUUCUGGUAUCAGGGAAUAGAAUAUGUGCUGAUGACACAUUUUAAGUUAGUAAAAAAUACGUUAUUAUUUUCUUUUUUUCAACUAAGUCUUCCAAUAAAAAAUAUACUCUUUAUCAUUACCGUAAUACUA